GGUAGAGUAGCAUAUGGAUAGAGCACAGACCUGGAAGUCAGAAGAACCUGGGUUCUAAUCCCCGCUCUGCCA
rnacentral:tRNA from 1 species